rnacentral:rRNA from 1 species
AGUGAACGCUGGCGGUAGGCCUAACACAUGCAAGUCGAACGGCAGCACAGUAAGAGCUUGCUCUUACGGGUGGCGAGUGGCGGACGGGUGAGGAAUACACCGGAAUCUACUUUUUCGUGGGGGAUAACGUAGGGAAACUUACGCUAAUACCGCAUACGACCUACGGGUGAAAGCAGAGGAUCUUCGGACCUUGCGCGAUUGAAUGAGCCGAUGUCGGAUUAGCUAGUUGGCGGGGUAAAGGCCCACCAAGGCGACGAUCCGUAGCUGAUCUGAGAGGAUGAUCGUCCACACUGGAACUGAGACACGGUCCAGACUCCUACGGGAAGCAGCAGUAGGGAAUAUUGGACAACGGGCGCGAGCCUGAUCCAGCCAUACCGCGUUGGUGAAGGAGGCCUUCGGGUUGUGAAGCCCUUUUGUUGGGAAAGAAAAACAGCAUGUUAAUACCCCGCUGUUCUGACGGUACCCAAAGAAUAAGCACCGGCUAACUUCGUG